rnacentral:rRNA from 1 species
CGGCAGCGCGGGGGCAACCCUGGCGGCGAGCGGCGAACGGGCGAUUAACACAUCGGAACGUACCCUGUCGUGGGGGAUAGCCCGGCGAAAGCCGGAUUAAUACCGCAUACGACCUGAGGGUGAAAGCGGGGGAUCGCAAGACCUCGCGCGAUAGGAGCGGCCGAUGGCGGAUUAGCUAGUUGGUGAGGUAAAGGCUCACCAAGGCGACGAUCCGUAGCUGGUCUGAGAGGACGACCAGCCACACUGGAACUGAGACACGGUCCAGACUCCUACGGGAGGCAGCAGUGGGGAAUUUUGGACAAUGGGGACAACCCUGAUCCAGCCAUUCCGCGUGAGUGAAGAAGGCCUUCGGGUUGUAAAGCUCUUUCGGCAGGAACGAAACGGUGGAGGCUAAUACCUUUCAUCAAUGACGGUACCUGAAGAAGAAGCACCGGCUAACUACGUGCCAGCAGCCGCGGUAAUACGUAGGGUGCGAGCGUUAAUCGGAAUUACUGGGCGUAAAGCGUGCGCAGGCGGUUCUAUAAGACAGAUGUGAAAUCCCCGGGCUUAACCUGGGAACUGCGUUUGUGACUGUAGGACUGGAGUGUGGCAGAGGGGGGUGGAAUUCCACGUGUAGCAGUGAAAUGCGUAGAGAUGUGGAGGAACACCGAUGGCGAAGGCAGCCCCCUGGGUUAACACUGACGCUCAUGCACGAAAGCGUGGGGAGCAAACAGGAUUAGAUACCCUGGUAGUCCACGCCCUAAACGAUGCGAACUAGGUGUUGGAGAAGGAGACUUCUUUAGUACCGUAGCUAACGCGU